UUAAUUACUAUACUGGAACAGCCUCAAACGCCGGGAACCAGCGUAGAUUUUUAAACCAAUUUCUAAAUACGCCAUUUUGGAAUUCAUCAGAAUUGUGACUGUAAACACACGCAUUUACAGGGUUUUUUGGAUUCAAAAUAGUACGUAUACAGAAAAUAUUGUAUGCAAGCAGUUAAACUGGGAGCAAGUUUAUGCUUAACAAAACAUGCAUAAGCCUAUAGUUUUGAAUCCAAGAUUUACCCUGUCAGAUGGAUUUAAUGUUUGACCUCAACGGUAGACUGUUUAAUUUCACUUCUGUGCAGAGAGAAUCAAUAUACAUUUCAAUAACAGGCUGUGAAGAGAAGUCUAAAAAAUUAUUCUGGAAAUCUGUUCUGUUGGCCACCACAAACAAUUAACUAAUGAUUAUGUAUGCAAUUCAUUAUAUACAAUGUCCAGUCAGAAAAAUCUAAGCAAUGUUAUAUUGAUGAUCACAGAUUUAAUAAUUUGUACAAAGGAAGAUUAUAAGUCUAGUAAAAGGGAUAUGUGGCAUUCACUGAACAUACAAAUUAUUAUAGAUUCAUAUUCCUUGAGGAAAGAUAAGAUUUUAAUAUUGGAUAUAGUUACAACUUGUUAUUUUAGAAAUUGUAAGAAUUCAGAAUUACCAUUUUUUUUUUGUGAAUUAUGAUAUAUAUGAGAGGCAUUAGCUCUUGAGAUCAUAAUAAACAUUUUCUUAUAAGCUGCUAAUUUUUUGAAUUUUAUGUAUAGUAUUGCAUUGUACCUUUUGGGCAAAAAAAAAUAUAAAUAUUUAAUCCUACAUGUCAUUGUUUAUUUAAAAAUAUCAUUCUCCAUAAUAUGGUUUUCUUCAUGCAAUAAUCAUUUCUUAUCAUCAUCAUUAAAGCUAUUUUAUCAACUUUUCUGCCUCUCAUUAUGUACCAUUGACUAAUUUCAGUAAUCUGUUUAAAAUUAAAUCCUCAAUGUUUGAUGCUUAAUUUAAGGAACCAUUGAGGGAAAAUGUGUUUGAACUGUAUGAAAACAGUUAUUUAAUUUCAACAAAUAUUGUUGGGCCCAAUUCCUUUAGUUAUAAUUUCUCUUGUAAAAAAAAUUACUGUAUAUUUAACUAAAAACUGUUGGCUAUAGUGAAAUUAUUUUUAUUCCAUGAUCGACUGUAUUCAUAGAAAUUAUGUGUG